AUUGAACGCUGGCGGCAGGCUUAACACAUGCAAGUCGAGCGAGCGGCGGCGGGGUGAGUAAUGUCUGGGAAACUGCAUGAUGGAGGGGGAUAAAUACUGGAAACGGUAGCUAAUACAGCAUAACAUCAGCUGUGCCCAGAUGGGCUUAGCCAGUAGGUGGGGUAAUGGCUCACCUAGGCGAAGAUCCCUAGCUGGUCUGAGUGGAUGACCAACCACACUGGAACUGGGACACGGUCCAGACUCCUACGGGAGGGAUCAGUGGGGAAUAUUGCACAAUGGGCGCAAGCCUGAUGCAGCCAUGCCGAGUGUGUGAAGAAGGCCUUCGGGUUUUAAAGCACUUUCAGCGAGGAGGCGUUACUCGCAGAAGAAGCACCGGCUAACUCCGUGCCAGCAGCCGCGGUAAUUC
rnacentral:rRNA from 1 species